GCCCAACUCUGUCCAUGGCAGUGCUGUCCUACAACCUACACCAAGGCCCCGGGGACAGAGACAGUGCAUCCCAGCUGAGCUCCCCAUCUGCCCUCCUCAGCUGCAAGCAAGAUGGUUUCUUUUCAAGCCGAAUUCCUUCGAUUUCCUCAGGGAGACCUUAAUCCACCGAGCUGUGGUGGACUGCAGGUGGAUGCUGUGGUGAAUGAUGAGGGUCUGAGUCCCUCCAUUAUGUCCACUAUGGCAUCAUCUCUUAGGAACUUUUGAAAGUCCUGCAUUCAAAGAGUUCUGUUCCCCGUGUCGCACCAGCAAGAGGCUCCUGUUUCCCAGGGUGAUUGGUGCAGACUGUCUGGAGGCAUUG